UCAAUCGGUGCUGUCAUAUUCAGACAGUUAAAAGGGAAACAGGUGGGGAAGCCUGUGCGAACUCGUCACCGUAUGUGAUUUUGUUCUGUCAAGCAAAAGCUGCAGCCACUGAGAAAUCGGGAAGGCGACGGAAGCAUUACAUCACGAGCCGGGAGACCUGCCGAUUGAU
rnacentral:ncRNA from 1 species